UACGUAGGUGGCAAGCGUUAUCCGGAAUUAUUGGGCGUAAAGCGCGCGCAGGUGGUUCUUUAAGUCUGAUGUGAAAGCCCCCGGCUCAACCGGGGAGGGUCAUUGGGAACUGGGGAACUUGAGUAUAGAAGAGGAAAGUGGAAUUCCACGUGUAGCGGUGAAAUGCGUAGAGAUGUGGAGGAACACCAGUGGCGAAGGCGACUUUCUGGUCUAUAACUGACACUGAGGCGCGAAAGCGUGGGGAGCAAACAGG
rnacentral:rRNA from 1 species